rnacentral:rRNA from 1 species
CCUACGGGAGGCAGCAGUGGGGAAUAUUGGGCAAUGGGCGAAAGCCUGACCCAGCAACGCCGCGUGAAGGAAGAAGGCUUUCGGGUUUUAAACUUCUUUUGACAGGGAAGAGCAGAAGACGGUACCUGCCGAAUCAGCCACGGAUAACUACGGGCCAGCAGCCGCGGUAAUAAGUAGGUGGCAAGCGUUGUCCGGAUUUACUGGGUGGAAGGGGCGUGUAGCCGGGCUGACAAGUCAGAUGUGAAAGCCGGGGGCUCAACCCCAGAACUGCAUUUGAAACUGUUGGGCUUGAGUAUCGGGGAGGCAGGCGGAAUUCCGAGUGUAGCGGUGAAAUGCGUAGAUAUUAGGAGGAACACCAGUGGCGAAGGCGGCCGGCUGGACGACAACUGACGGUGAGGCGCGAAAGCGUGGGGAGCAAACAGGAUUAGAUACCCGGGUAGUC